GUUAGGAAUAUUGGACAAUGGGCGAAAGCCUGAUCCAGCCAUGCCGCGUGUGUGAAGAAGGUCUUCGGAUUGUAAAGCACUUUAAGUUGGGAGGAAGGGCAGUAAGUUAAUACCUUGCUGUUUUGACGUUACCGACAGAAUAAGCACCGGCUAACUUCGUGCCAGCAGCCGCGGUAAUACGAAGGGUGCAAGCGUUAAUCGGAAUUACUGGGCGUAAAGCGCGCGUAGGUGGUUUUGUAAGUUGGAGGUGAAAUCCCCGGGCUCAACCUGGGAACUGCCUCCAAAACUGCAUGACUAGAGUACGGUAGAGGGUAGUGGAAUUUCCUGUGUAGCGGUGAAAUGCGUAGAUAUAGGAAGGAACACCAGUGGCGAAGGCGACUACCUGGACUGAUACUGACACUGAGGUGCGAAAGCGUGGGGAGCAAACAGGAUUAGAAACCCUGGUAGUCC
rnacentral:rRNA from 1 species